rnacentral:rRNA from 1 species
GACGAACGCUGGCGGCGUGCUUAACACAUGCAAGUCGAGCGGUAAGGCCCUUUCGGGGGUACACGAGCGGCGAACGGGUGAGUAACACGUGGGUGACCUGCCCUUAGCUCUGGGAUAAGCCUGGGAAACUGGGUCUAAUACCGGAUAUGACUCCAUAACGCAUGUUGUGGGGUGGGAAAGCCUUGUGCGGCUAGGGAUGGGCCCGCGGCCUAUCAGCUUGUUGGUGGGGUGGAUGGCCUACCAAGGCGACGACGGGUAGCCGGCCUGAGAGGGCGACCGGCCACACUGGGAC